rnacentral:misc_RNA from 1 species
CCGAGUUCUCGCCCUCGCGGGUAGACCUCCCACCCACUGUUAUCACUACCGUCGUUGCUUUGGCGGGCCGCCAGGCCCGGCCUGGCCGCCGGCACAGCCGGUGUGCGCCCGCCAGAGGCCCACAAACACUGAAUGCGUGUCGUCCGAGUCCUACUUUAAUAGUCA